AGUUAAAGUGGCAGAGACCGGUAAUUGCGUAAAACUUAAACCUUUAUACCCAGAGGUUCAAUUCCUCUCUUUAACAUA
rnacentral:tRNA from 1 species